AUUCUCGCUAAUUGAGAGGGAUAAGUCGUAUUAGUUAGUUGGUGGGGUAAUGGCCUACCAAGGCAAAGAUGCGUAGCCAGGCUGAGAGGCUGAUUGGCCACAAGGGAACUGAGACACGGUCCCUACUCCUACGGGAGGCAGCAGUGAGGAAUAUUCCGCAAUGGGCGAAAGCCUGACGGAGCGAUACUACGUGAAGGAUGAAGGUCUAGGGAUUGUAAACUUCUGUUAGGAAACACAUGUUUCCAGAGAAAGCGACGACUAACUAUGUGCCAGCAGUCGCGGUAAUACAUAGGUCGCAAAUGUUAUCCGGAUUUAUUGGGCGUAAAGGAUGCGUAGAUGGUAGGGUAAGUUACUGGUUGAAGUUGGACUCAAUCUAAUGAAUGCUUGUAAUACUACUUUACUAGAGAGCAAGGGAGGUUAACGGAAUUCGAUGUGGAGCGGUGAAAUGUGUUGAUAUAUCGAGGAACACCAAAAAAGGCGAAGGCAGUUAACUAUCUUGUUUCUGACAUUGAGGCAUGAAAGCUGGGGGAGCAAAAAGGAUUAGAUACCCUUGUAGUCCCAGCCCUAAACGAUGAGUACUAGGCAUUAGGUAAUUAGCUUAGUGUCGUAGCUAACGCGUUAAGUACUCCGCCUGGGUAGUACGCUCGCAAGAGUGAAACUCAAAGGAAUUGACGGGGACUCGCACAAGCAGUGGAGCAUGUGGUUUAAUCCGAUACGACGCGUAGAACCUUACCAAGGUUUGACCCGAUCCCGGCAAAAGGAGGUAAUGCGAAUGGAGGUUAUCCGGGAUCACAGGUGCUGCAUGGCCGUCGUCAGUUCGUGCCGUGAGGUGUAUGGUUAAGUCCUAUAACGAACGCAACCCUUGGGCUUAGUUACCAGCAUUCGGUUGGGCACUCUAAGCCGACUGCCUGUGUAAGCAGGAGGAAGGAAAGGAUGACGUCUGGUCGUCAUGGCCCUUAUGCCUUGGGCGACACACGUGCUACAAUGGUUAGUACAAUGGGUUGCCAACCCGCGAGGGGGAGCUAAUCUCAAAAAACUAACCUCAGUUCGGAUUGGAGGCUGCAACUCGCCUCCAUGAAGUCGGAAUUGCUAGUAAUCGCCAAUCAGCCAUGUGGCGGUGAAUACGUUCUCGAGUCUUGUACACACCGCCCGUCAA
rnacentral:rRNA from 1 species